GCCAUGCAUGUCUCAGUACAUGCCUAAUUAAGGUGAAACCGCGAAUGGCUCAUUAAAUCAGUUAUGGUUCCUUAGAUCGUACCCACAUUUACUUGGAUAACUGUGGUAAUUCUAGAGCUAAUACAUGCAAACUAGAAUUCCGACCAGAGAUGGAAGGAAUGCUUUUAUUAGAUCAAAACCAAUCGGUGGUAUAUUUUUUAAAUAUAUCCAUCGUUAAUUUUGAUGACUCUGAAUAACUUUGUGCUGAUCGCAUGGUCUUGUACCGGCGACGAAUCUUUCAAAUGUCUGCCUUAUCAACUGUCGAUGGUAGGUUCUGCGCCUACCAUGGUUGUAACGGGUAACGGGGAAUCAGGGUUCGAUUCCGGAGAGGGAGCCUGAGAAACGGCUACCACAUCCAAGGAAGGCAGCAGGCGCGCAAAUUACCCACUCCCGGCACGGGGAGGUAGUGACGAAAAAUAACGAUACGGGACUCAUCCGAGGCCCCGUAAUCGGAAUGAGUACACUUUAAAUCCUUUAACGAGGAUCCAUUGGAGGGCAAGUCUGGUGCCAGCAGCCGCGGUAAUUCCAGCUCCAAUAGCGUAUAUUAAAGUUGUUGCGGUUAAAAAGCUCGUAGUUGAAUUUGUGUGCCACGCUGUCGGUUCAUCGCUCGCGAUGUUUAACUGGCAUGAUUGUGGGACGUCCUGCCGGUGGAUUUAGCUUUAUAUAUUUUCGAAUAUAUUUAGCGAUCCAGUUUAUAUCCCGUCGCGGUGCUCUUUAUUGAGUGUCGAGGUGGGCCGGUACGUUUACUUUGAACAAAUUAGAGUGCUUAAAGCAGGCUUUUUUUGCCUGAAUACUGUGUGCAUGGAAUAAUAGAAUAGGACCUCGGUUCUAUUUUGUUGGUUUUCGGAACCCCGAGGUAAUGAUUAAUAGGGACAGAUG
rnacentral:rRNA from 2 species